UUAUAUUGGUUAAUUUCGAUACUUUUCUGUUUUUUCUUAUUUUUUUUGUUUGAAUGUAUUUUGUGGUUAAUUUUAGGUCCUUUAUGUGCAAAACAAGGGGAAAUCUAAGUUACUUAAUUGAUUUCAGAGAAUACAGUUGAUUUGUUUGACAUGUUUGUUUGUUGUGAGCCUUGUGUUUUGAUCUAUGGGUACAAGUAAAAUAUGAAGAGCAGGUUCUAAUCAUACAGUACUUUGCAAGCAGAGAGGGAGAUGGGGCUAUGACUAGAAGAGGUUUUAGUAGCUACUUCAAGGAAGUUUGAUUUUUUUCAAUGAGGAAUUAUGUUUUUAUUUGGUUGCUUUUAAUGGAAAAGGGAGAAAAAAGGUUUGAGGUGCAAAGGUACUAUCAGGGGUUGUGGGCUGGAAAAUCUAAAUUAUUGAAUAAAUUAUUUAUAAAGCUCAUGGGAGGGAGAGAGUGUUGGGAGUAGUCAUUUUGACUGGAAGAUUUUAGCUGGAUUGUUAUGUAGGAUUGGUGGCAGUAACAAAGAAAUGGCAUAUAAAUGAAGUUCUGAGGAAACUGAGCUUGAAUCUUUGUGAUUUAGGAGAGUAAGAUGGAGAUCGUUGAAACGAGGGUAUUGGCUGCUGACAGUAUCCAAGAUUCUAAGUUAGUAGGGAAUUUUACCCUUGCUAAGUGUAAAUCAUGAUGUUUCAUAGUGUCUUUGAAUGUUAAGACUGUAUAAGUUUUUGAAUUUGUGCCCUGAGAUUUAACUCAAUGUCCUUGAAAC